UUCCUUUCAGUUGCACCAUUUACGUUUAGCGCCACAUUUCGUUUGACCUACCGUGAAUACCAACAGGAAUUUAACGACAAAAACUCACCAAGUUUCAACAAACUGAAAGAUGAAAUUGAGAAAGAGCUCAAGUCGGUGUAUGAAGGCUACAAAAGUGUAAUUGGAGUUUAUGUAAAUGCAUUUCGGAAGGGAAGCGUGAUUGUAGAUUUCAAACUCGAAUUGGUUGCGAACGUGAGUGAUCCUUUGUCUCCCUUGAAAAAUGCCGUGGCACAAAGUGGAGGCAAUUUGGGUGGAUUGGUAAUAGACCCUAGUAGUAUUCAAGCAGGUUUGUAAGUUAAAACAGCGUGACUUUUCGCUGCAGAAGACACAUACUGUACAUACAAUUUUUGCUAAUUCUUGAGUAAGUUCGUGAUCACACCUAUGUUACUCCAUCUGCUCUGACUGGCGGAAAAAUUUAWUUUCRUGAUAUUACAUUAUUCGCAUUGGUCRCAACGACAUCGACUUUACAUAUGGAUAUAAAGGUCAACAUCAUCAAUAGCGAUAGCCAAAGGUCUCGAGUAACGAGUUAGAGUAACUCGUAUUCGAUUCGAGUUUCAGUCGAUUUUCAGUUAUAGCUAAACAGUUCGUCCUGAAAAAAGAUAUCCAAGCUCGAAUAGUACUCUGCUAAGACUCUCAACUGAAACUAAAACUGAUU